GGGCAUUGGAAUUGGCAAAAAUUUGUAGGCUGAUUUAGUAGUCAAGUUCUUCUAGAGAUUGCAAGGACUAGACCUCCACAAGCUUAUGAUAUGGAUGACAGGUGCUCAUGGCGAUGAACCAACAAUGGAAGGCUAAAGGUGGCGGAUGGUUAUAAGAUUUUGAAUCAACACCAAUAGGGUAGUGCAGACUCUAAAUGGGACCUAAUGUGGAAGCAUAGAAGAGUAAGACCUCCACGGUUGAAAGAGUUUUUGUGGUUGGCUUGUCAUGGUAAAC
rnacentral:lncRNA from 1 species